rnacentral:rRNA from 1 species
CCUACGGGUGGCAGCAGUGGGGAAUAUUGCACAAUGGGCGCAAGCCUGAUGCAGCCAUGCCGCGUGUGUGAAGAAGGCCUUCGGGUUGUAAAGCACUUUCAGCGGGGAGGAAGGCGUUAAGGUUAAUAACCUUGGCGAUUGACGUUACCCGCAGAAGAAGCACCGGCUAACUCCGUGCCAGCAGCCGCGGUAAUACGGAGGGUGCAAGCGUUAAUCGGAAUUACUGGGCGUAAAGCGCACGCAGGCGGUCUGUCAAGUCGGAUGUGAAAUCCCCGGGCUCAACCUGGGGACUGCAUUCGAAACUGGCAGGCUAGAGUCUUGUAGAGGGGGGUAGAAUUCCAGGUGUAGCGGUGAAAUGCGUAGAGAUCUGGAGGAAUACCGGUGGCGAAGGCGGCCCCCUGGACAAAGGCUGACGCUCAGGUGCGAAAGCGUGGGGAGCAAACAGGAUUAGAUACCCUAGUAGUC